rnacentral:rRNA from 1 species
GCCGGUAGUUCUUGCGCAGGAGUCACACCUCUUCCCAUUCCGAACAGAGAAGUUAAGCCCUGCCGCGCCAAUGGUACCUGGUUCACACACCUGGGAGAGUAGGUCACUGCCGGCU